CAUUCAAUGCGUGGAGAAGGUGAACCCAGCUUGGCACCGUCUCGGCCUCCGGCGCUCUGCUUUUGGUGAAGAGGGUUACCCAAGACGGCGGAGAGGCCAGCUGCGACUCGCUCGCGGGCCUCGACCUCCCGAUCGCCCGCGGCGCACGGCGACCUUUUUCUGUGACCUUUUCACGUCCGUAUUUGCUUCACGUUGAGCCACACGUACAAUACCUGAAGAUGAAGUUUUGUUCGUUCGGCUCGCGUUACGCAGGUACGGGUCGGCAACUGGGAAAGACACAGAGCCUGUUUCGCUGUCGAGUGUCACCUCAGACAAACGAUGGAGUGCUGUUCUUUUUGUUUGAGUCGUUUGUUUUAAAGUUUGUUUUUAAGAGAUGGGUGACGAGAGCCAAACCACAGCAACCAAACGUCUGGAAAAUAUUCAAAAAUGUCAGAUAUUACCAAAAAGCACACAAGGCAUGAGGUUCAGGAGUCUGGGCCGUUGCUUUAUCUAAGGCGACGUGACGACAGCGUAGUUCGCUAACUGAAGCACCAGGUGUGCGGCAUUGUGUGUCCCUUAUUUGCAUGCAGCUGGCUAAAGAAAGACAUGUCUGCCUUGUACGACAUGUUGCCUGUCUCCUGGAGUCCGAAUCAUUCAUCUGAAGGACUGAAGGGGAAAAAUAAUUACAGGGUAGGUUCAUUUUAAAAGACUUUUUAAAUGUAUUUUAUUUAAUUAACAACAGAAAGCACAAAAAGGGCUUCCAGCCGGUUCAUUUGGUCUGAGUCAGUGAUCCAGGCUAUCAAGCAAGGAUUGUUCAUUGGUAACAAAAAAGAUCCAGUUCAUAUUUGCGGUUAAGGUGAAAGUGAUGUGAGUUCCCGUCUCAACCACUCACACACGGCCUUUGUUGCGUGAUUCUCGGGUCAGUAUCGAUGCUGCAACUGAAACAAAGUUACAUAAGAAAAGAGCCCAAGUGUUUCCCUGUGGUUGUUUUCUAGCCAGAGGUUCAACUCACCUUUUAAGUGCCAGUUUGAGCUUCCCACUGGUUGACUUUGAAAGUAUACCGAAAAGGCUGACAUCCACGACGGAGAAGAUCAUCUGCAUAACGUGUGUGUUUUUCUGUGUGUGUCUGUGUGUGUGCGUUUUCCUUUUGCACAUUCAUGUUGUAUUUUCCAGCGGAGGCCUGUUCAUUACCGUCCAUCUCCCACGUCAUGCACUGAGGCUGCAGGCGAGCAGAGAGACGGGCUUAAUGGCAGCCUAUGUUAAUCAUUAAAUAAACAUUAACCACUCACAAACACACACCAGACAUCUGAUAGGGGCCAUCUGCCAGUUGGACACCGUGAUGCAGCAUUCAUCAAUCACACUUUUACAAGUCAGUAUACGUGUUGUUCCCUGUGUUCAGGAGUAUAUCUGCUUUUCAGUGCCUGAUUGUGGGAUGUAAAUGAACGCUGGCGUUUUUUCCUUUUGUCCUGCGUUUGGAUUUCAGAAAAUAAAGUUGAUGUUGCAGUUA